AAAUUGAAGAGUUUGAUCAUGGCUCAGAUUGAACGCUGGCGGCAGGCCUAACACAUGCAAGUCGAACGGUAACAGGAAACAGCUUGCUGUUUCGCUGACGAGUGGCGGACGGGUGAGUAAUGUCUGGGAAACUGCCUGAUGGAGGGGGAUAACUACUGGAAACGGUAGCUAAUACCGCAUAACGUCGCAAGACCAAAGAGGGGGACCUUAGGGCCUCUUGCCAUCGGAUGUGCCCAGAUGGGAUUAGCUAGUAGGUGGGGUAAAGGCUCACCUAGGCGACGAUCCCU
rnacentral:rRNA from 1 species